GUUCAGAACAGUCAAGUUAGAAAAAGGACCGGAUACUUAGGAGCUUCUGUUUCACGCUUUAAAGUAUUUUGUGAAUGCAGACCUGAGAAAACAGGAAACUGAGGGGAAGAAGAAGGGUGGAGGUGAGGUUUAAAUGUAUAGGCUCAAGAUGACUAGAUAGUUUCCAGAAAAAUUUGUGCAGAACAUAAUGGAUUUCAAUUACAUAUCCAUAGGGUGGGAUAAGACAAUGAGUACUGAAAGGAGGAUCCAUAACUCUUUUUUUUUUUUUUUUUUUUUUUUUUGCCCUCAGUGUUCCAGUUGUGCAGAUAAACAGUGCCCAGACCCUUCAGUCCUUGAAAGAUUUCUGCCCUGUUCCAUGGCUUUUCUGAAGAGAUUUGAAUGAUACCUGCAGUGCCUAAGCAGAGACUACACUUAUGACUGUGAUACCACUGGCCAAUAUCCAAAUAUGUAGUUUGUGGCACACCAUAUAUUCCUCAACUUCAGGCCCCAACACCCUCUCUGAAUUUUGAAGCAGACAACUUAUUUUCUUAUCCAUGGUACCAUAUGUGUUGAUGAGUGUCUGGUCAUAGCAACAUGGAUGUCUGUAUGAAUGAACUUAUCCAGAUAAAGACACGACACUAAGUAAUUCCAGCCAUCGAAGUACUUAAUUUGGCAGCUAUCUGGAAUGAAAGUAGCUCACAACUUUAAAAUGACUUAACAGACUAGGUGCCUAAAAAUUCUCUUUGUUGCUGCAUCAUUGAGUAAUGGGACAGAGAAAUACAUUGCUGAUAAAAUAUAAAUGACACUCUCCACCUUCAAACUCUGCUGGAAUCUCUCCUGAUUGUCAAAGGGAUGAAUUACCUUGCUUCUCAGCCUUGGUGCAGUGCUGUAUAUGCUGGAUCUGAUCCAAGCUAGAAUGUAUCCUGAAAAUCUCCUCAGAAAAGCCCAUCUAAGUUAUUUCCCUUCUGGAAUAGAGAAAUUCAAAAUGGCUACAUUUUGAAUGGUGGUUUCCAGCACACAGAUGUUGGUAUUCAGCCCAUAACUUUGAGACAAAAUUAAAGUUGCCCUGGAUUUAUUAGAGGUACCAUUUUAUGUAGCAUACUAUGACCUACCUUGUCUUUAUUUCAAAGUAAAGGCUUGCUAACAAUCUAGAGCAUCUCCUGGAAUUCUUUUCAGGAAGAACCAUCAGCAUGUUUCAGUAAACUAUCCCUGCUCUUCUCAAAUUGUUUGAGAUAGAAUCAAAGUAUCAUUUGAGUUGGAAGAGACCUUUAAAGGCCAUUUGGUCCAGCCACCCUGCAAUGAACAGGGUCACCUACAGCUCGAUCAGGUUGCUCAGCGCCCGGUCCUGUCUGACCUUAGAUGCCUCCAGAGAUGGGGAUCUGCCACAUCACUAGGCAACCUGU
rnacentral:lncRNA from 1 species